rnacentral:rRNA from 1 species
GACGUAGGGCGCGAGCGUUGUCCGGAUUUAUUGGGCGUAAAGAGCUCGUAGGCGGCUUGUCGCGUCGUCCGUGAAAACUUGGGGCUCAACCCCAAGCCUGCGGUCGAUACGGGCAGGCUAGAGUUCGGUAGGGGAGUCUGGAAUUCCUGGUGUAGCGGUGAAAUGCGCAGAUAUCAGGAGGAACACCGGUGGCGAAGGCGGGACUCUGGGCCGAUACUGACGCUGAGGAGCGAAAGCGUGGGGAGCAAACAGG